UACGUAGGUGGCAAGCGUUGUCCGGAUUUAUUGGGUUUAAAGGGUGCGUAGGCGGCCCUGUAAGUCAGUGCUGAAAUAUCCCGGCUUAACCGGGAGGGUGGCAUUGAUACUGCAGGGCUUGAGUGAAGUCGAGGUAGGCGGAAUUGACGGUGUAGCGGUGAAAUGCUUAGAUAUCGUCAAGAACACCGAUAGUGAAGACAGCUUACUAGGCUUAUACUGACGCUGAGGCACGAAAGUGUGGGGAUCAAACAGG
rnacentral:rRNA from 1 species